rnacentral:lncRNA from 1 species
GACAUCAGAAGCAAAUGAUCUAUUGCGUAAGUAUAUAAGUUGCCCUUGGUGAUGAGGUCUACCAAUGUUAUCGCAUAUAAGUCAACCUCCACACUCAUAUGGUUAUGAGGAUACAUCCAAUAAAUAUAGUAAAGGGGAUCUAAAUGUGAUGAAUCAGCUUUCCUGAAGUGUAUUUUGCCAAGGCAAGAGGGUAUUGAUCCUGAAAGAUUGCUUUGCAAAAGGUC